rnacentral:rRNA from 1 species
ACGAACGCUGGCGGCAGGCCUAACACCUGCAAGUCGAGCGAGGACUUCGGUUCUAGCGGCGGACGGGUGAGUAACGCGUGGGAAUGUGCCCUUCUCUACGGAAUAGCCCUGGGAAACUGGGAGUAAUACCGUAUACGCCCUAUUGGGGAAAGAUUUAUCGGAGAAGGAUCAGCCCGCGUUGGAUUAGGUAGUUGGUGGGGUAAUGGCCUACCAAGCCGACGAUCCAUAGCUGGUUUGAGAGGAUGAUCAGCCACACUGGGACUGAGACACGGCCCAGACUCCUACGGGAGGCAGCAGUGGGGAAUCUUAGACAAUGGGGGCAACCCUGAUCUAGCCAUGCCGCGUGAGUGAUGAAGGCCUUAGGGUUGUAAAGCUCUUUCAGCUGGGAAGAUAAUGACGGUACCAGCAGAAGAAGCCCCGGCUAACUCCGUG